rnacentral:rRNA from 8 species
UUAAAUUGAAGAGUUUGAUCAUGGCUCAGAUUGAACGCUGGCGGCAGGCCUAACACAUGCAAGUCGAGC